rnacentral:rRNA from 1 species
UCUCAGUUGGGAUUGCAGGCUGCAACUCGCCUGCAUGAACGCGGAGUUGCUAGUAAACGCAGGUCAGCACACUGCGUUGAAUACGUUCCCGGGCCUUGUACACACCGCCCGUCACGUCAUGGAAGUUGGUAAUACUUGAAGUCGCUGGGUGAACCUUCGGGACACAGGCGCCGAGAGUAGGAUCGAUGACUGGGACGAAGUCGUAACAAGGUAGCUGUACCGGAAGGUGCGGCUGGAUCACCUCCUUU